UCGAAACCGUCGUUUGGUAAUAAAAGAUCCUUUAUUUUGACACUUUUGACAUAUAAGCAUGGUUAUUUAUGUCAAAAUAAAGGAUCUUUUAUUAAAGGACGAUGUUAAAUAGGGUUUCGAUAUCUCUCUAUUGCCACCGGCAAAUAAAGGAUCCUUUAUUACAGGAUACUUUAAUCAGUGUGCGUCUUGGAAGAGUGUUGCCAUCGUAUACGCUAAAAGCUGAUUGGCUCCGCCAUCUUUUGCUCAGAUUUCCGGAUUAAUUUGGAAGGGGUAAACAGAUGAUCAGUUGUUUAUUUUUCGUUUACUCUGGUUUAACCUCACUUAACUAGAUAGAUCGAGAAAUAUUAAAUUACUAUUACUAUUAUUCAGGUUGAAAAAUGCCUUCUUCUAAGGUAAAAGGUUGCGAAGUCGAUUGGGGAAAAAUAAUGUGAAAAUGAAUUCUUUCCCAAAAGAAUCUGAACGACGGAAAGUGUGGAUUAAAAAUAUAGGGUUAAAACAAGAUCCAAACAAAUAUGCUGUUGUUUGUGAAAAAAACUGUAAAUAGUAUUUAAGGCAACGAUUGUGAAUGAGUGAGAAGUCUAAUAAAGCCACGACGAGAUACUGUAUUAGAGCGUAUGAUUUGGAGGUAUUUUUGAUUAGAUACAUUUUGUAAAGUACAAUAUAAAUUAGAUUUGAUAAUGUGUAGUAUUUCCUAAUAAAUUAAAUACUAUUAAGUGUUUAUUGUUCUUGUAAGUUAGUGUGGUAAAUAAAUAAUAUGAAGUAAG